GGCGGACGGGUGAGUAACGCGUGGGAAUGUGCCCUUCUCUACGGAAUAGCCACUGGAAACGGUGAGUAAUACCGUAUACGCCCUCAGGGGGAAAGAUUUAUCGGAGAAGGAUCAGCCCGCGUUAGAUUAGGUAGUUGGUGGGGUAACGGCCUACCAAGCCUACGAUCUAUAGCUGGUUUUAGAGGAUGAUCAGCCACACUGGGACUGAGACACGGCCCAGACUCCUACGGGAGGCAGCAGUAGGGAAUCUUGGACAAUGGGGACAACCCUGAUCCAGCCAUGCCGCGUGAGUGAAGAAGGCCCUAGGGUCGUAAAGCUCUUUCGCCUGUGAUGAUAAUGACAGUAGCAGGUAAAGAAACCCCGGCUAACUCCGUGCCAGCAGCCGCGGUAAUACGGAGGGGGUUAGCGUUGUUCGGAAUUACUGGGCGUAAAGCGCGCGUAGGCGGAUUGGAAAGUUGGGGGUGAAAUCCCGGGGCUCAACCCCGGAACUGCCUUCAAAACUCCCAGUCUAGAGUUCGAGAGAGGUGAGUGGAAUUCCGAGUGUAGAGGUGAAAUUCGUAGAUAUUCGGAAGAACACCAGUGGCGAAGGCGGCUCACUGGCUCGAUACUGACGCUGAGGUGCGAAAGUGUGGGGAGC
rnacentral:rRNA from 1 species